AACUGCUUUUGCUAGGGUUACUGAAUCAUGAGGCUUACAAUCUGCCUCCAAAGGCAUUGCAGGCUUCCCAUUUUUAAGUAUCACUUCUCAGCCCAGGAUGGAGGACAGAAGCAGUGCUACAAGAAGCAG